GAUGAAGAACGCAGCGAAAUGCGAUAAGUAAUGUGAAUUGCAGAAUUCAGUGAAUCAUCGAAUCUUUGAACGCACAUUGCGCCCCUUGGUAUUCCGAGAGGCAUGCCUGUUCGAGCGUCAUUAUAACCCCUCAAGCUCAGCUUGGUGUUGGGGCCUGCUGCACUGGCAGCCCUUAAAAUCAGUGGCGGCGCCAUCUGGCUCUAAGCGUAGUAAUUCUUCUCGCUAUGGAGUCCUGGUGGAUGCUUGCCAUCAACCCCCAAUUUUUCUAUGGUUGACCUCGGAUCAGGUAGGGAUACCCGCUGAACUUAAGCAUAUCAAUAAGCGGAGGA
rnacentral:misc_RNA from 1 species